GAUGAACGCUGGCGGCGUGCCUAAUACAUGCAAGUCGAGCGAACAGACGAGGAGCUUGCUCCUCUGACGUUAGCGGCGGACGGGUGAGUAACACGUGGAUAACCUACCUAUAAGACUGGGAUAACUUCGGGAAACCGGAGCUAAUACCGGAUAAUAUAUUGAACCGCAUGGUUCAAUAGUGAAAGACGGUUUUGCUGUCACUUAUAGAUGGAUCCGCGCCGCAUUAGCUAGUUGGUAAGGUAACGGCUUACCAAGGCAACGAUGCGUAGCCGACCUGAGAGGGUGAUCGGCCACACUGGAACUGAGACACGGUCCAGACUCCUACGGGAGGCAGCAGUAGGGAAUCUUCCGCAAUAGGCGAAAGCCUGACGGAGCAACGCCGCGUGAGUGAUGAAGGUCUUCGGAUCGUAAAACUCUGUUAUUAGGGAAGAACAAAUGUGUAAGUAACUAUGCACGCCUUGACGGUACCUAAUCAGAAAGCCACGGCUAACUACGUG
rnacentral:rRNA from 1 species